rnacentral:rRNA from 1 species
AACGAACGCUGGCGGCAUGCCUAACACAUGCAAGUCGAACGAACCCUUCGGGGUUAGUGGCGCACGGGUGCGUAACGCGUGGGAACCUGCCUUUAGGUUCGGAAUAACUCAGAGAAAUUUGAGCUAAUACCGGAUAAUGUCUUCGGACCAAAGAUUUAUCGCCUUUAGAUGGGCCCGCGUUAGAUUAGAUAGUUGGUGGGGUAAUGGCCUACCAAGUCGACGAUCUAUAGCUGGUCUGAGAGGAUGAUCAGCCACACUGGGACUGAGACACGGCCCAGACUCCUACGGGAGGCAGCAGUGGGGAAUAUUGGACAAUGGGCGAAAGCCUGAUCCAGCAAUGCCGCGUGAGUGAUGAAGGCCUUAGGGUUGUAAAGCUCUUUUACCAGGGAUGAUAAUGACAGUACCUGGAGAAUAAGCUACCGGCUAACUCCGUGCCAGCAGCCGCGGUAAUACGGAGGGAGCUAGCGUUGUUCGGAAUUACUGGGCGUAAAGCGCGCGUA